rnacentral:rRNA from 1 species
GAUGAACGCUGGCGGCGUGCCUAAUACAUGCAAGUCGAGCGAACAGACGAGGAGCUUGCUCCUCUGACGUUAGCGGCGGACGGGUGAGUAACACGUGGAUAACCUACCUAUAAGACUGGGAUAACUUCGGGAAACCGGAGCUAAUACCGGAUAAUAUAUUGAACCGCAUGGUUCAAUAGUGAAAGACGGUUUUGCUGUCACUUAUAGCUGGAUCCGCGCCGCAUUAGCUAGUUGGUAAGGUAACGGCGUACCAAGGCAACGAUGCGUAGCCGACCUGAGAGGGUGAUCGGCCACACUGGAACUGAGACACGGUCCAGACUCAUACGGGAGGCAGCAGUAGGGAAUCUUCCGCAAUGGGCGAAAGCCUGACGGAGCAACGCCGCGUGAGUGAUGAAGGUCUUCGGAUCGUAAAACUCUGUUAUUAGGGAAGAACAAAUGUGUAAGUAACUAUGCACGUCUUGACGGUACAUAAUCAGAAAGCCACGGCUAACUAAGUG